rnacentral:rRNA from 1 species
AUUGAACGCUGGCGGCAUGCCUUACACAUGCAAGUCGAACGGUAGCGGGCCUUCGGGUGCCGACGAGUGGCGAACGGGUGAGUAAUGUAUCGGAACGUACCUUUCAGUGGGGGAUAACGUAGCGAAAGUUACGCUAAUACCGCAUAUUCUGUGAGCAGGAAAGCAGGGGAUCGCAAGACCUUGCGCUGAUUGAGCGGCCGAUAUCAGAUUAGCUAGUUGGUGAGGUAAAGGCUCACCAAGGCGACGAUCUGUAGCGGGUCUGAGAGGAUGAUCCGCCACACUGGAACUGAGUCACGGUCCAGACUCCUACGGGAGGCAGCAGUGGGGAAUUUUGGACAAUGGGGGCAACCCUGAUCCAGCCAUGCCGCGUGAGUGAAGAAGGCCUUCGGGUUGUAAAGCUCUUUCGGCCGGGAAGAAAUCGUAUCAGCUAAUACCUGGUGCGGAUGACGGUACCGGCAUAAGAAGCACCGGCUAACUACGUGCCAGCCGCCGCCGUAAUAC